CCUACGGGUUGCACCAGUGGGGAAUAUUGCACAAUGGGCGCAAGCCUGAUGCAGCCAUGCCGCGUGUAUGAAGAAGGCCCUAGGGUUGUAAAGUACUUUCGGUCGGGAGGAAGGCGUUGAUGCUAAUAUCAUCAACGAUUGACGUUACCGACAGGAGAAGCACCGGCUAACUCCGUGCCAGCAGCCGCGGUAAUACGGAGGGUGCAAGCGUUAAUCGGAAUUACUGGGCGUAAGGCGCACGCAGGCGGUUGAUUAAGCUAGAUGUGAAAUCCCCGGGCUUAACCUGGGAAUGGCAUCUAAGACUGGUCAGCUAGAGUCUUGUAGAGGGGGGUAGAAUUCCAUGUGUAGCGGUGAAAUGCGUAGAGAUGUGGAGGAAUACCGGUGGCGAAGGCGGCCCCCUGGACAAAGACUGACGCUCAGGUGCGAAAGCGUGGGGAGCAAACAGGAUUAGAUACCCGGGUAGUC
rnacentral:rRNA from 1 species